UUCCGGUUGAUCCUGCCGGAGGCCAUUGCUAUCAGGUUUGACUAAGCCAUGCGAGUCGAGAGGUGUAAGACCUCGGCAUACUGCUCAGUAACACGUGGUUAACCUGCCCUAAGGUGGAGCAUACUCCCGGGAAACUGGGGCUAAUACUCCAUAGUGGAUAUAUCCUGGAAUGGUGUAUCCUCGAAAGAUCCGUCGCCUUAGGAUGGGACUGCGUCCGAUUAGGUUGUUGGCGGGGUAACGGCCCACCAAGCCAUUGAUCGGUACGGGUUGUGGGAGCAAGAUCCCGGAGAUGGAUUCUGAGACAUGAAUCCAGGCCCUACGGGGCGCAGCAGGCGCGCAAACUUUACAAUGCGAGCAAUCGUGAUAAGGAAACCCUGAGUGCCUGUCGAUGCAGGCUGUUCAUAUAUCUAAAUCAUAUGUGAAGAAAGGGCAGGGCAAGACCGGUGCCAGCCGCCGCGGUAAUACCGGCUGCUCGAGUGAUGGCCACUAUUACUGGGUUUAAAGCGUCCGUAGCUUGACUGUUAGGUCCCUUGGGAAAUCUUCACGCUUAAC
rnacentral:rRNA from 1 species